UCCGUAGGCGGGCAGCUCAGUCAGUGGUGAAAGUUUGCAGCUCAACUGUAAAAUUGCCAUUGAUACUGGUUGUCUUGAAUUAAUGUGAAGUGGUUAGAAUAUGUAGUGUAGCGGUGAAAUGCAUAGAUAUUAUAUGGAAUACCAAUUGCGAAGGCAGAUCACUAACAUUAUAUUGACGCUGAUGGACGAAAGCGUGGGGAGCGAACAGGAUUAGAUACCCUGGUAGUCC
rnacentral:rRNA from 1 species